rnacentral:rRNA from 1 species
UACAGAGGGUGCGAGCGUUAAUCGGAAUUACUGGGCGUAAAGCGUGCGUAGACGGUUAUCUAAGUCAGAUGUGAAAGCCCCGGGCUCAACCUGGGAAUUGCAUUUGAGACUGAAUAGCUAGGGUGCGGUAGAGGGAAGCGGAAUUUCCGGUGUAGCGGUGAAAUGCGUAGAUAUCGGAAGGAACAUCAGUGGCGAAAGCGGCUUCCUGGACCAGAACCGACGUUCAGGCACGAAAGCGUGGGGAGCAAACAGG